CGGUCAGUGGAAAGUGGCGGACGGGUGAGUAACACGUAGGAAAUCUGCCCUUUCGAGGGGGACGAACAGUUGGAAACGACUGCUAAUACCCCAUAUGAGCUAAGCUGAAAUGCUUAUCUUGAAAACUCCGGUGCCAAAGGAUGAGCCUGCGCCUGAUUAGCUAGUUGGUGGUGUAAUGGACUACCAAGGCGACGAUCAGUAGCUGGUUUGAGAGGAUGAUCAGCCACAAUGGGACUGAGACACGGCCCAUACUCCUACGGGAGGCAGCAGUAGGGAAUUUUGCGCAAUGGGGGAAACCCUGACGCAGCAACGCCGCGUGAUUGAUGAAGCCCUUCGGGGUGUAAAGAUCUGUCAGUAGGGACGAAUUUUGACGGUACCUACAGAGGAAGCACCGGCUAACUCCGUGCCAGCCGCCGC
rnacentral:rRNA from 1 species